UACAGAGGCCCCAAGCGUUACUGAGAAUCACUGGGUUUAAAGGGUGCGUAGGUGGUCCGUUAAGUUCGUUGUGAAAGCCCUGGGCUCAACCCAGGAACUGCUUCGAAUACUGGCGGACUUGAGGCUAGUAGAGGUCACUGGAACUGACGGUGGAGCGGUGAAAUGCGUAGAUAUCGUCAGGAACGCCAAUGGUGAAGACAGGUGACUGGGCUAGUUCUGACACUGAGGCACGAAAGCGUGGGGAUCAAACGGGG
rnacentral:rRNA from 1 species